rnacentral:rRNA from 1 species
GUCUUUUUGAGUUAUUUUUAAAGUCUGACCUGCCCACUGAAUUUUUAAAUGGCCGCAGUAUUCUAACUGUGCAAAGGUAGCAUAAUCAUUAGUCUUUUAAUUGAAGGCUGGUAUGAAUGGUUGGACGAGGUAUAAGCUGUUUCAUAUAAAUUUAUAAUAGAAUUUUAUAUUUUAGUCAAAAAGCUAAAAUAUAAUUAAAAGACGAGAAGACCCUAUAAAUCUUUAUAUUUUAUAUAGUUUAAAUUUUUUAGAUUUAUUUUAUUUUUAUUAUAUUGAAUAUUUUGUUGGGGUGAUAUUAAAAUUUAAUAAACUUUUAAUUGUAUUUAAAUCAUUAAUUUAUGAAUUGUUGAUCCAUUAAUAGUGAUUAUAAGAUUAAGUUACUUUAGGGAUAACAGCGUAAUUUUUUUGGAGAGUUCAUAUCGAUAAAAAAGUUUGCGACCUCGAUGUUGGAUUAAGAUAUAAUUUUAGGUGUAGUCGCUUAAAUGUUAAGUCUGUUCGACUUUUAAAUUCUU